GACGAACGCUGGCGGCGUGCCUAAUACAUGCAAGUCGAACGAGAGCGACCGGUGCUUGCACUGGUCAAUCUAGUGGCGAACGGGUGAGUAACACGUGGGUAACCUGCCCAUCAGAGGGGGAUAACAUCCGGAAACGGAUGCUAAAACCGCAUAGGUCUUCGAACCGCAUGGUUUGAAGAGGAAAAGAGGCGCAAGCUUCUGCUGAUGGAUGGACCCGCGGUGCAUUAGCUAGUUGGUGAGGUAACGGCUCACCAAGGCCGUGAUGCAUAGCCGACCUGAGGGGGUGAUCGGCCACAUUGGGACUGGGACACGGCCCAAACUCCUACGGGAGGCAGCAGUAGGGAAUCUUCCGCAAUGGACGCAAGUCUGACGGAGCAACGCCGCGUGAGUGAAGAAGGUGUUCGGAUCGUAAAACUCUGUUGUUGGAGAAGAACAAGUGCUGGAGUAACUGUUAGCGCCUUGACGGUAACUAACCAGAAAGCCACGGCUAACUACGUG
rnacentral:rRNA from 1 species